AUACGGAGGGGGUUAGCGUUGUUCGGAAUUACUGAGCGUAAAGCGCACGUAGGCGGACUGGAAAGUUGGGGGUGAAAUCCCGGGGCUCAACCCCGGAACUGCCUCCAAAACUUCCAAUCUAGAGAUCGAGAGAGGUGAGUGGAAUUCCAAGUGUAGAGGUGAAAUUCGUAGAUAUUUGGAGGAACACCAGUGGCGAAGGCGGCUCACUGGCUCGAUACUGACGCUGAGGUGCGAAAGCGUGGGUAGCAAACGGGAUUAGAAACCCCAGUAGUCC
rnacentral:rRNA from 1 species